rnacentral:lncRNA from 1 species
AAGGAUCAAAUCUUGAUCAGAUAAGUUACAUAGGUUACAAACCCUAAAAUUAUAAUGAGAACGUUAAGGUUAAGUUAUGAAACCCUAAUCAGUAAUUUUAUGUGUACAUUUGUGAUUUAAGAUCAAUGAUUUAUCAGAUAAGUUAUAACUUUAGCAAACCCAAAAGUUAUGUGAGAAUGUCAAGGAUUACGAUAGUAAACUUUAACGAAUUGUUAGAAACCCUAACGAUCGGAUUGAAAACCCUAAUCUAAUUUCCGAGAAUUCAAAACCCUAAUUCGGAUAUUCAAAACACUAAUUUGGGAAUUUAAGUUAACUUUAUUUGGCUAAGUGUAGAAUGUUAUGAGAUAAAAUGGAAAUGUCCAAAAUACCCUUUAAGUUAUAGAGGAAAAGAAAAAAAUACCCUUAGUGGGUGCGAAAUGACUAAAAUACCCUUUUUCUUAAAAGUUAGGUAAAAGAUUUGUAAAAUCUUGGUGAGUCAUCUAUAUAGACACCACAUGUGUUUUAUAUGAGCAAGUUAUCAGCCAAUUCAUUGCCACCUUCCAACCUUAGAUACAUUGAACCAAAAAUUAAACUUAUAAGUUAAGUAAAGUAACUUACCUUACUUUCCAAAGCAACCUAGACUCUCUAUAUAUAUAAUUUUUGAAAUCUAGAGUGAGAAGGAGUGAGAAACAAAGUUAUGAGCACCACUUAGCUCUUCAAGAACAGCAACAAGGAUCAGAAAUCAAAGAUCAAAGCUAGAAAGGUAUAAAACCAUAAAACUUGAAAAUCUUGUGAUUUAUUGUUAUAUGUUGUUGUUAGAUGGUUAAACUUGUGUUAUGGGAUGUUAUUUAGUGAUCCAAGAUGUAACAUCAAGGAUCCAUAACAUCUAGAUGCUAGAAAUCAAGUUUUUAGAAUUGAUCAAGAACCCUAAAAAUAUGGCCUGACAGCCAUAUGUCAGGGCUCAUAGAUCUCAACCUGUUAAUGAUAUGUUGUGUUUUAAGUUAUAGACUUGUUCUUUGCCAUGAGAAGAGUAGACUGGAAGUGGAAUCACAUCUAUACCAUAUCUGGAUCUCAAGAUAUAGGUGGUCCAACAUGGUUGACUGAAUCUGGGCAGCCCAGAUUUGCCCAGAAUGUUCUGACAUGCUUUUGCAGGCCAUGAAUCUUGCUGUUGUUUGUUAGUUUGGCUAAGUUGUUAUAUUUAUGUUGUAGACUGGUAUGUGAACUACACAUAUAAGUCAUUAGAACACCUAGAACUAUUACAGGAUCAAAGAUAAUCGAGGUCAAACCUGUGUUGACAAAC